UACGUAGGGGGCAAGCGUUGUCCGGAUUCAUUGGGCGUAAAGAGCGUGUAGGCGGCCAGGUAGGUCCGAUGUGAAAACUGGAGGCUCAACCUCCAGCUGUCAUUGGAAACCCUCUGGCUAGAGUCCGGAAGAGGAGAGUGGAAUUCCUGGUGUAGCGGUGAAAUGCGCAGAUAUCAGGAAGAACACCCGUGGCGAAGGCGGCUCUCUGGGACGGUACUGACGCUGAGACGCGAAAGCGUGGGGAGCGAACAGG
rnacentral:rRNA from 1 species